UACGAAGGGUGCAAGCGUUAAUCGGAAUUACUGGGCGUAAAGGGCGCGUAGGCGGGAUGGCAAGUCGGUCGUGAAAUCCCUCGACUCAACCGAGGAACGUCGAUCGAUACUGCUGUUCUUGAGGAUUGCAGAGGAGACUGGAAUUCCCGGUGUAGCGGUGAAAUGUGUAGAGAUCGGGAGGAACACCGGUGGCGAAGGCGGGUCUCUGGGCAAUUCCUGACGCUGAGGCGCGAAAGCGUGGGGAGCAAACAGG
rnacentral:rRNA from 1 species